rnacentral:rRNA from 1 species
GCGUGAGUGAUGAAGGUUUUCGGAUCGUAAAACUCUGUUGUUAGGGAAGAACAAGUACCGUUCGAAUAGGGCGGUACCUUGACGGUACCUAACCAGAAAGCCACGGCUAACUACGUGCCAGCAGCCGCGGUAAUACGUAGGUGGCAAGCGUUGUCCGGAAUUAUUGGGCGUAAAGCGCGCGCAGGCGGUUUCUUAAGUCUGAUGUGAAAGCCCCCGGCUCAACCGGGGAGGGUCAUUGGAAACUGGGGAACUUGAGUGCAGAAGAGGAGAGUGGAAUUCCACGUGUAGCGGUGAAAUGCGUAGAGAUGUGGAGGAACACCAGUGGCGAAGGCGACUCUCUGGUCUGUAACUGACGCUGAGGCGCGAAAGCGUGGGGAGCGAACAGGAUUAGAUACCCUGGUAGUCCACGCCGUAAACGAUGAGUGCUAAGUGUUAGAGGGUUUCCGCCCUUUAGUGCUGCAGCAAACGCAUUAAGCACUCCGCCUGGGGAGUACGGUCGCAAGACUGAAACUCAAAGGAAUUGACGGGGGCCCGCACAAGCGGUGGAGCAUGUGGUUUAAUUCGAAGCAACGCGAAGAACCUUACCAGGUCUUGACAUCCUCUGACAACCCUAGAGAUAGGGCUUCCCCUUCGGGGGCAGAGUGACAGGUGGUGCAUGGUUUGUCGUCAGCUCGUGUCGUGAGAUGUUGGGUUAAGUCCCGCAACGAGCGCAACCCUUGAUCUUAGUUGCCAGCAUUUCAGUUGGGCACUCUAAGGUGACUGCCCGGUGACAAACCGGAGGAAGGUGGGGAUGACGUCAAUUCAUCAUGCCCCCUUAUGACCUGCGGCUACACACGUGCUACAAUGG